AGGACGAACGCUGGCGGCGUGCUUAACACAUGCAAGUCGAGCGGAAAGGCCCUUUGGGGUACUCGAGCGGCGAACGGGUGAGUAACACGUGAGUAAUCUGCCCUUCACUCUGGGAUAGCCCUCCGAAAGGGGGAUUAAUACCGGAUACGACCACGUACUGCAUGGUGUGUGGUGGAAACUUUUUGGGUGGGGGAUGUGCUCGCGGCCUAUCAGCUUGUUGGUGGGGUAAUGGCCUACCAAGGCUUCGACGGGUAGCCGGCCUGAGAGGGUGACCGGCCACACUGGGACUGAGACACGGCCCAGACUCCUACGGGAGCAGCAGUGGGGAAUAUGGACAAUGGGCGAAGCCUGAUCCAGCAACGCCGCGUGAGGGAUGACGGCCUCGGUUGUAAACCGUCUUCUAGCAUCGACGAAGCGAAUCCUUUGGUGAGUGACGUAGGUGCGAGAAGAAGGACCCUAACCAACUACGUCGCCACGCAGCCGC
rnacentral:rRNA from 1 species